GGCGAACGCUAGCGGCGCGCCUAACCCAUGCAAGUCGAGCGGGAAAGGGCUUCGGCCCUAGUACCGCGGCAGACGAGUGAGUAACACGUGAGUAACCUGUCCCCGGGUCUGGGAUAACUACCCGAAAGGGUAGCUAAUACCGGAUAAAGUCACCGGACGCAAGUUCGGUGAUGAAAGAGGGCCUCUGCAUAGCAAGCUCCUGCCUGGGGAGGGGCUCGCGGCCCAUCAGCUAGUUGGUGGGGUAACGGCCCACCAAGGCGACGACGGGUAGCCGGCCUGAGAGGGUGGUCGGCCACGCGGGCACUGAGACACGGGCCCGACUCCUACGGGAGGCAGCAGGGGGGAAUCUUGGGCAAUGGGCGAAAGCCUGACCCAGCGACGCCGCGUGGGGGAAGAAGGCCUUCGGGUCGUAAACCCCUGUUCUGGAGGAAGAACCCAGGGUAGGUGAAUAACCUAUCCUGGCUGACGGUACUCCAGGAGAAAGCCACGGCUAACUGCGUGCCAGCAGCCGCGGUAAUACGCAGGUGGCGAGCGUUGCCCGGAAUUACUGGGCGUAAAGGGCGCGUAGGCGGCCGGACAAGUCAUAGGUUAAAGCCCGGAGCUCAACUCCGGAAAGGCCUAUGAUACUGUCUGGCUUGAGGGCCGGAGAGGCUGGCGGAAUUCCCGGUGUAGGGGUGAAAUCCGUAGAUAUCGGGAGGGACACCGGUAGGGAAGCCGGCCAGCUGGACGGUUCCUGACGCUGAGGCACGAAAGCGUGGGGAGCAAACC
rnacentral:rRNA from 1 species